rnacentral:lncRNA from 1 species
AUACCAAGCAUACCACAAAUACGAAUUGUGUCCGCUGCUCUAAUAUCACAAUCCCAAGGAGAACUGCAGACAUUUGUCCUCGAGUUCCUCAGGUUGCCAGUAAUGAUGUUUCUGGUGAUCUGGCUCAGAAGGCUGAGCUGAUGAGUGAUCACUCAGAAAUACUGAAUCAGGCAAUGGAAAUUCUGAAUCGGUGGGCUCUGGAGAAGGAACUGAGGGCGAGGUGACUCGGGGCCGGAGGGCUAUUAUGGACUAUGGACAAGCUGAAGGCAUGGGAAGCCUGACCAGUAGAUAGAGGAAUAUGAACUUGGUGGACAGGGAAAAGCAGGGACGUCAUGAACGAAAGACCACAGACCCUCUGUUCUAGUCCAUGGGGCCAGGCUGUGCUCCACUGCCUACUCUUGGAUUCCCCAAAGAAUGCUUUA